CAUGUUUUUCAGCAUAAAGUACUCUGCAGCCACUUUUAGUGUGGACACCAGCCUCUAGGUUAUAUCAGCUGUGUCUGUGAAUCCCUCCCGCAUAUGAACUGGCUACAUAGACGGCACAGCAUGAUCAGAGGUCACUUGGUCAGGUCAACAGGAAGUAUUAUUAAAGGGAUGCUUUACAUUGAAAUGGAGAUGUAGUAGUCCCAGAGUUAAUGAUCCAAGAUAUGUUUUGCUGUGAAAGAGGAUGCCAACCCACAGUCCCGUCAUCGCCACCUCACCCGCUCUUAAGAUGACCAUUCGUGCCGACUGGGAGUCCAAGGCUGGUUAGGAGACACCACUAGAGACACUUAAUGUAAUUGUGAUGAACUGAGAUAAUAUUAAGGUAGCACUGGGAUUCAUUAAUCAUAUGCUGCCUUCCCUGCUCCUAUGGUCCUUACCUCUUUCCCUUUAUUUUACACCUCUCUCGCCACCUUUCUUCCUCUGUUUUUAUA